rnacentral:misc_RNA from 1 species
AAGUCGUAACAAGGUAACCGUAGGUGAACCUGCGGUUGGAUCAUUAAUAAAUUCGAGAGCAGAGUUGAUCGAGCAAUCGUGAUCUCUGUUUCUUAACAAUUUGUGAAUCGUUUAUUGUCUCUUGUGGUUGAUGUACUUCUUACGCGCGCUUUACGGCCGCUUGGAUGUCUCUCCACACGUGAAUCUUAACAUUGUAAUAUAACUAUUUGUCUUGAAACUUUAAACCUAAAAAAUUUAAAAACAACUUUUGACAACGGAUCUCUAGGCUCUC